CAGCAGCCAAGUAUUUCCCAUGAGGUGAAUCACUCUCUAGGCUCCAAUGACUUUAGCUCUCUGGUGACUACAAAGGGAGCUUAGGCACUUCCAGCAGAGAUCUACAUUUAUUUGUGUGUCCUAAUCUUUAAUGUAAUCCCACUUGUAAGGCUCCAGUCAGUCUUUGAACUGAAGGCACCUACUACCACAUGAAAUGCUCUAGGAUAUACAAGACAUCCACACAGGUUUGGCAGAUAUCAUGCAGGACCUAGGAGAGAACUGCACCUUUUUGGAGCAGCAGCAGCAGCAGUAGACCAGAACAGCUCAGUUUGACAACAGACUGCAGGAGUCCUGUUCACAGCCCUCUCUGGGAUAGCCCUUUGGCUGGGGGCUCACGGCCUUCCAUGGGAGCUAUGGACCGCUAGAGUUGUGGCACAGUCAAUUCGGGAAGGAUGUAUCCUGUGUUACGUGUCCUGGACUGUCCGUAUAGAGAAGGAUUAAUGCAACAUAGUGCAACUGAGACAACGGUUCUUCUGGAUAAACAAGAGAAAAUGCAAUCAGAGUGAAAUCUCUUUUCCUAUUUUCUGUGAUGCUCAUGGGGACAAGGGCCCUGGAAGAUAUUUCCAGUGUGGAGUGUCCCUGAGCUCCACAUAUAUAUGCUGUUAGGAGGCUCUACAGAAGCAAGAAAGGAGCCAUCGUAGGACCUCUUGGAUCAACCAUAGAAGAGCAACAGAGCACUCUCCAAAAUGCCCUGAAGCCUGAGCAUGUGUCCCUGAGUCCUUAGCAGCAACAGCAGCAGAGAGAUCUCAGUGACCAGCCUUUUUCCACAACUCUGUCCUUAAAAGAUUAAAUGCUGUACUUUAUAGCAAGUGCUGGCAGAAUUUAAAUAGGUUGCAGUACCUGUGUUUAAUUUCGCCUCUCCCUUUUGGAAGCAGUGGUUGAGAUGGGCUCACAAACGCCAAAGAAAGGCAGCUGUGACUAGUUCCUGGCUGGAGCUGGGGGAAGAGAGAGGGGAGGCAUAAAGGGCAAAGAGAGUUUUCUUGAGCACUCAGGCUGUCCCGGCUGGUGUCUGCUUGGCCUGUUGAGACUAGACAAAGUGACUGCAUGGCCCAUUUGGACUAAGUCUAUACAGAGCCCCAGGUACGUGGCCUGAUAGUUAUAUAAACUAAUAAUGUAGAUUGUAAAAUUAAAUAGUAUGAUUUCAUUCUGCAAAUGAUUUGGGGACAUAGUUUACAGAAAAGACACAAUACAAAGGAAAAUUGUAUUGCAUGGUAUUAUUCUUUAUGAGUUUCUUGUACUUUAAUAUGGUAUAAAGUUCAUAUUAAUAGGUGCCAUUUUUAUGGAGAAAUUUAUAGCCAAAGCAUGGCAAUUUCUCUGCUGCAAGAGCUUCACAGAGAAAAUUAAAUUUGACCAUUGCUCUAUUUUUUAUAUGUAUGGAUAUUCUGGUGUGAAGCAGUGAAUUGUUUAAACUUGAGAGCUUUUAUAUUGUAUGCUUUUUUUAUUAGCCACUUUGUUCAUGAUCAGUGUUUCUGCGGCAUCAGUAAAAGAGUAUGGGAACUGUCCAUGGGCCAAAAUGACAUCUGUACUUUUUCAUUUGCAUCAGCUGAAGAAUGUGUAGCCUAGAGACACAAUUAAUGUUAGGCUGGCCUCUUCCCCAGAUUAGUGGUCUCCUACGUGUAGGUUUAUACACCAUAUGUGAAGGGCCAAAUUAGUCCUGCUUGGGUCACUUUUUCCUUGAUCGCUUCGAGAACUAAGCCCACAACAGUGGCUGUCUGUAUAGAUGCAACUUUCCAUGGCUGAACCGACAUUUACCUGCAUAGGGAUUUUUCAGUAAAACAUUCUGUAUCAGAUGCUGGGACAUAAAACACACCAAAGUAUAUGUAGUAGUUGAAUUCUAUCAAGAUCAAGUGCCUCUUCUGAGGUAAAAAAUCUAGGUGUAAAGGCUACUGCCUUUUUCCUUCUUUGUCUGGUGCUGUGAAAAGAUCCCUAAACUGUGCACACAGACGUGGUAGAUUGCCAGGUUUCCUCGAUGUGGCUUCAACAGUGGUUCUGCAAGCACAAGGUUGCAGGUCCGUUACCUGGUCUAAAGGGCCAGUCCAGGACGCAAUGACCAAAUGUGUGGGACGUUAUGCAGGCAGAGGUGGAGGGGGAUGUGGUGAAUAGUGAUGGCUGGAUAAGGGACUCUCUUCAUUCCUGGCCUCAGUGCCCCGGCCAGCCCUGCUAUGGGACCGAGAAGUCUUUCAUCUUGUAGAAAGUAGAAGACUGUAUUGUCUUGGCCCAUUAGAUAAGACCAUGAGUAUGCUAUAUAUAUCUAUAUAUAUAUUUCUGCAAAGCAGAAAAGGAUGGUGGGAUAUAGAGGAAAGUGGAAGUCAGAAAUUUUCUAAGUUAUGUAAUAAAACUUAAUUUAUACUGUCCUUUUCCUCCACUUUGCCUCUGUGUCAGUAUUCAUGCCCUUCUGUGAUCUGCUUUGCUUGGGAGGGACUGGCAUCAUAAUGCUAGAGUGGACUGGUACUACUAAAUUUGGGCUGUGUGCUUUUGUAGGGGAACUGGGAUGCACAGCCUCUCCCACUGUUUACAUAGGAAUGCCAAUACAAUGCUUCGUUGAAGCAAUUAGAUAUAUUAUUCUGAUCGCAUAUUUUGGAGAAGAUAAUUAGAGAAUAUUUAGAAAAAAAUAAAAAGGGGACAAGAAAUGUUUCCAUUUUUAUCUUCUGCCUUUAAAAACAGGUUACCUAGUUUAUGCAUUAUACAUGAUAUUAAGAUUAUACUGCAAAAUAAAUAUAUUUUAAAAAUGUGAGUCUAUCUAUAAAAUGCUUUAAUCAAGGACCAUAAAUAUUCAAAAUCUUUUAUCAUAAUUGUUUGUUUGUUUAUUACAAGGUACAGCAGGAUAGUGGGGGGUAUUGUUUAGUGCCUUUACAAUACAAUUUCAUGCCUUAAAGCUUGGAUUUUUCCAGUAGAACUUUACUUCUGACUUCCUGAUUUUUUUGACUACUCAAAAAUGAGAUAAUUGCAACAUGUGAGUAAUUUUUUUUUAUGCUAAAUGGCGGAUAUGUAUGCGGUCUUAUGGUAGUUUUUUGCUUGAGAAUAUAUAAAAGUACAUGUCUUUCUAUUUAUGUAAGUGUUUAUAUAUUCAUUUACAACUCAAAUUUCUUCAGGCUGCUAUAAAAAUGUUAUUAUAAAGGAACAAUAAUUUGAAGACUACUGUCAUGUGUCAAAACUCCAUAAUUUUCGUAAGCCCUUUUAAGCACUGCACACUUCAUUGUCAUAUUUUGGAUCUUGUAGAGCACAGUACCAGGUCUGGUACAUUAGCUGUAAUCUUGGAAAUGUGCAUCUAGAAAUGUAUUUUGAAGUAAAACUAGGAGGAUAGUAGAAAACAAGAAAAGUGAGGAAUAACCUCCUUUUCCAUGUCUUUGUUCUUUCUCUCAUCAUCUAGAACGUCUUAACAUUAGAGAGAAAACAACAAAAACCUCCCUCCAAAACUUAUAGAAAGACACAUGAACAUUUUUGUCAUUGUGUAACAUCCAUGUCAUUAACCAUUAAAAUUAAAUAGCGCUGUUCCCGGGGCGGGGUGGGUAGUUGUAUGAUCAAAUCACUGCCUUAUGCUCUUGUUUUUUUCCAUGAUCAGUUCAAUCAUGUAUUUAUUCACCAAACUCAUUAGAAUUGCAAUGGUAAUCAGAGAGAGGAAAUGGUUUCCAUCUAUCAUCCUGUUUCUAACAAGAAGAGGUAACAGACCAUUUUAGUUACAGUGCAUUAAUGCUCAUUACUGCCCUAAUGAAGAUUUGUGUUGCUUUUCCAAGAACCUUCAAACUAAUCUGCAACUUCCUCUUAGCUUUCAAAGAAACACCAGUUUUCACAUGACUUCAACCUACUCGAGCAAAGAAAGAGGUAUUAGUCUGACCAUUAUAAAAUAUAGUUUUGUAGAUAAGGGAAACUAAUAUGAUGAACAUGAGAUAAAACAUAGUUGCUUAAUUACUAUGGCUAAAUUCUAUGAGCUGGGUAAACAUCUGAUUGACUUGAUCUCUGUGCCUGGAUUUUUUUCCUAGCACCUGUAUCUGUGCUGCUUAAUGUGUGGCUAGUAUUAAACUAUAACUGAUUAAGCUAUUACCUAUUAAACUGUUACCACAUAUUUAAGUGGUAUUUGAGUACUUGUGAUAUAUUAUAGUAGCCAAAUGCCCACUGCAUACCUUGCCUAAUCUAGAUUUCCACAUAACUGGGCUUGGUAUCAUCUCAACAACAUUCAUUCUUACACUGAAAUACUCAUGCUGCAAUGGGAAAUUCAAAAUGCUCUUGCCUGGGACUUUCCUUAGUGUCUUACCUGCCCUUGCAAAACCCCAAAGGAGACAGAGCUAGCAGUGAGUACUGCCUGGUAACUGACUUUGCACUGCAGGGUGUUUACUGUCACCGUAAGAUUAAGCUCCAAGAGAAAGCCAUGUUCAGGGCCUAUUGCAUGUCAGCAGAAAGACAGGCAUGCCACAAAACCUGCUUUUCUGGUGCCCCCUGUCACUGCUGUCUCGGGGCUUGACACAGUUAACAAGCCCACAUGUGACUGAACUUUCGCUUGCUAGUGCGGGCGUUAGCACACGUGUCUGCUGUAAAAUGUGGACUCAGGUUUUCACUCGGUUUUUGCCUCCAAGUGAAAUUGGUUAUUUGUUGGAAACGAGCACCUAUUUAAAUAUCUGCCUCUAUCAGGCCUCAAAUGCCUGCAGCUCCCAAACACAUAAGGAGUUACUUUCCUGAGCUUUGUGUUAAGGGUCUGUUGGAAAACAUUUGUCCCUUAGUAACUACUUGACAUUUGGACAAAAAGAGUUUAAAAGAAAGGAAGUAACUCGGUGGACUUAGGAACAUUUAAAUGCAUCCUAAGGAAAGACCAACUUGAGUGUUGUUUAAAGAGUUUUAAUUUUGUUGGCCAGGGCUACUGGGAACUAAGAAAGCCCUUUACACUUGGAAACAAGCUUGCCAAACCAUUUCCUUUGUGUAUCUUGUUCUGCAGAAGUAACAGAAUAUUCCAUUCCUGCAUAUUUUAAUAAUGCCAAAGGAAAAGGUGUGUGAAGAGUCAAGAAAAGCAGCUUUCUGACCAGGCUGUUGCUGUCUGUUCCCAUGGUUUAUGCAUAAUAGUGAUGACACACAAUUCCUUCUUCCUGUGGAAACGAUAUCUAUCACCAAGAGAAGUUCUGCUGCUCCAUGAAAGACUGACCUUUUUACUGGUAGCAGCUUGGCAGGUGUUUGCUUUUGUUUUUAGAUAUUUGACUUGUAAAAAUUAAAAUAUACUCUUGGGAUUUGACUAUC